GAGAGCACAGUACGAUGAAAGUUGUAAGCUGUGUUCGGGGGGGAGUUAUUGUCUAUUGUUGGCCUCUAUGGUAGAACCCGUCGGGGAGGCCUGAGAGGCGGUGGUUUACCCUGU
rnacentral:ncRNA from 1 species